rnacentral:sRNA from 1 species
CUAUUAGAGUUCAUUCACACAUUGAAGAGUUACAUACAGGUCUCACUCCUUAUCUUUUUAACUUCCCCACCUGUGUUUUCAUGGACAGUUAAUUGUGUUCAUCAGCUCGGUGUGCCGGAAGAGCUACAGACUUCCCCAGUUCUUGUUCGACAUCAACCUGGGAGUAUUCCUUGACUAAGUCGUUCAGCUCUUGGCAGAACAAUCAGAUUCCCUAUUGUACCCCGAAGCUGGUCAAUCACAGCUGCACUCUUACACCACCCGCCUACAGCCUUUGUGUCUGUAACACAUCCACAAACGCUCUGGAAUAAACACAAAAUUUCUACGUUGCUCUGUUGAUCUCAGCAAUGCAGUGAAACAGGUCGGUCUCCUGCAUGGAGGAGGCAUCAUUUUCAAAAAUAUGCACAGGCAUCAGAAACAUAUGCAUCAUUCCCAAGACUUGGGAAGCUGACUUGAGCUGCUCAACAGACAUUUACAAAGCUUAGAAAACUCCAGGAAAGUUCUUCAGUUUCUCUGAGGAAGAGAUUGGCUGAGUGAAACCAUGUCAAAUAGGUGGAGCGAGUGACAUCUAAGUAAACACAGAUCCCCAGAUGGCUACCCACCGGCCUCCUGUCCCUGAAGCUCUCCUCCGAGUAGACAUUGCUUCAGAACAACUCUGGAGCCAACACUGACGUCAAACAAGAGUACAUGUGGAAUGACCCAUAGCUCCAGCUGCAUAUAUAGCAGAGGAUGGCAUUGUCUGGCAUCAAUAGAAGGAGAAGCCCUUGGUCCUGUGAAGACUGGAUGCUCCAGUGAAAUACAUCUUUGCCUUUGAACAAUACGAGGCCUAAGUGUCAUGUGACUUAGCAUCCUGGCUGCAUGUGUCAUGCAUAAUUUCCUUCACUUUAAUAGUACUGUGUUUAUUUUUAAAAGAAAAAGAACUAGAAAAUAUUAUCCUUAUAAAAGAGACACAUGGUAUGUACUCACU